rfam:Octopus bimaculoides Scaffold322473_contig_1, whole genome shotgun sequence.
AAGCUUUGGCAGUACAUUUACUAAAAUUGGAACAAUACAGAAAAGAUUAGCGUGGUCCUGCACAAAGAUGAUAUGAAUAUCUGUCAAGUGCUUUAUAUUUGU